AGCGUACACGGUGGAUGCCCUGGCAGUCAGAGGCGAUGAAGGACGUGCUAAUCUGCGAUAAGCGUCGGUAAGGUGAUAUGAACCGUUAUAACCGGCGAUUUCCGAAUGGGGAAACCCAGUGUGAUUCGUCACACUAUCAUUAACUGAAUCCAUAGGUUAAUGAGGCGAACCGGGGGAACUGAAACAUCUAAGUACCCCGAGGAAAAGAAAUCAACCGAGAUUCCCCCAGUAGCGGCGAGCGAACGGGGAGCAGCCCAGAGCCUGAAUCAGUGUGUGUGUUAGUGGAAGCGUCUGGAAAGGCGCGCGAUACAGGGUGACAGCCCCGUACACAAAAAUGCACAUGCUGUGAGCUCGAUGAGUAGGGCGGGACACGUGGUAUCCUGUCUGAAUAUGGGGGGACCAUCCUCCAAGGCUAAAUACUCCUGACUGACCGAUAGUGAACCAGUACCGUGAGGGAAAGGCGAAAAGAACCCCGGCGAGGGGAGUGAAAAAGAACCUGAAACCGUGUACGUACAAGCAGUGGGAGCCUCUUUAUGGGGUGACUGCGUACCUUUUGUAUAAUGGGUCAGCGACUUAUAUUCUGUAGCAAGGUUAACCGAAUAGGGGAGCCGAAGGGAAACCGAGUCUUAACUGGGCGUUAAGUUGCAGGGUAUAGACCCGAAACCCGGUGAUCUAGCCAUGGGCAGGUUGAAGGUUGGGUAACACUAACUGGAGGACCGAACCGACUAAUGUUGAAAAAUUAGCGGAUGACUUGUGGCUGGGGGUGAAAGGCCAAUCAAACCGGGAGAUAGCUGGUUCUCCCCGAAAGCUAUUUAGGUAGCGCCUCGUGAAUUCAUCUCCGGGGGUAGAGCACUGUUUCGGCAAGGGGGUCAUCCCGACUUACCAACCCGAUGCAAACUGCGAAUACCGGAGAAUGUUAUCACGGGAGACACACGGCGGGUGCUAACGUCCGUCGUGAAGAGGGAAACAACCCAGACCGCCAGCUAAGGUCCCAAAGUCAUGGUUAAGUGGGAAACGAUGUGGGAAGGCCCAGACAGCCAGGAUGUUGGCUUAGAAGCAGCCAUCAUUUAAAGAAAGCGUAAUAGCUCACUGGUCGAGUCGGCCUGCGCGGAAGAUGUAACGGGGCUAAACCAUGCACCGAAGCUGCGGCAGCGACGCUUAUGCGUUGUUGGGUAGGGGAGCGUUCUGUAAGCCUGCGAAGGUGUGCUGUGAGGCAUGCUGGAGGUAUCAGAAGUGCGAAUGCUGACAUAAGUAACGAUAAAGCGGGUGAAAAGCCCGCUCGCCGGAAGACCAAGGGUUCCUGUCCAACGUUAAUCGGGGCAGGGUGAGUCGACCCCUAAGGCGAGGCCGAAAGGCGUAGUCGAUGGGAAACAGGUUAAUAUUCCUGUACUUGGUGUUACUGCGAAGGGGGGACGGAGAAGGCUAUGUUGGCCGGGCGACGGUUGUCCCGGUUUAAGCGUGUAGGCUGGUUUUCCAGGCAAAUCCGGAAAAUCAAGGCUGAGGCGUGAUGACGAGGCACUACGGUGCUGAAGCAACAAAUGCCCUGCUUCCAGGAAAAGCCUCUAAGCAUCAGGUAACAUCAAAUCGUACCCCAAACCGACACAGGUGGUCAGGUAGAGAAUACCAAGGCGCUUGAGAGAACUCGGGUGAAGGAACUAGGCAAAAUGGUGCCGUAACUUCGGGAGAAGGCACGCUGAUAUGUAGGUGAAGUCCCUCGCGGAUGGAGCUGAAAUCAGUCGAAGAUACCAGCUGGCUGCAACUGUUUAUUAAAAACACAGCACUGUGCAAACACGAAAGUGGACGUAUACGGUGUGACGCCUGCCCGGUGCCGGAAGGUUAAUUGAUGGGGUUAGCGGUAACGCGAAGCUCUUGAUCGAAGCCCCGGUAAACGGCGGCCGUAACUAUAACGGUCCUAAGGUAGCGAAAUUCCUUGUCGGGUAAGUUCCGACCUGCACGAAUGGCGUAAUGAUGGCCAGGCUGUCUCCACCCGAGACUCAGUGAAAUUGAACUCGCUGUGAAGAUGCAGUGUACCCGCGGCAAGACGGAAAGACCCCGUGAACCUUUACUAUAGCUUGACACUGAACAUUGAGCCUUGAUGUGUAGGAUAGGUGGGAGGCUUUGAAGUGUGGACGCCAGUCUGCAUGGAGCCGACCUUGAAAUACCACCCUUUAAUGUUUGAUGUUCUAACGUUGGCCCCUAAUCGGGGUUGCGGACAGUGUCUGGUGGGUAGUUUGACUGGGGCGGUCUCCUCCUAAAGAGUAACGGAGGAGCACGAAGGUUGGCUAAUCCUGGUCGGACAUCAGGAGGUUAGUGCAAUGGCAUAAGCCAGCUUGACUGCGAGCGUGACGGCGCGAGCAGGUGCGAAAGCAGGUCAUAGUGAUCCGGUGGUUCUGAAUGGAAGGGCCAUCGCUCAACGGAUAAAAGGUACUCCGGGGAUAACAGGCUGAUACCGCCCAAGAGUUCAUAUCGACGGCGGUGUUUGGCACCUCGAUGUCGGCUCAUCACAUCCUGGGGCUGAAGUAGGUCCCAAGGGUAUGGCUGUUCGCCAUUUAAAGUGGUACGCGAGCUGGGUUUAGAACGUCGUGAGACAGUUCGGUCCCUAUCUGCCGUGGGCGCUGGAGAACUGAGGGGGGCUGCUCCUAGUACGAGAGGACCGGAGUGGACGCAUCACUGGUGUUCGGGUUGUCAUGCCAAUGGCACUGCCCGGUAGCUAAAUGCGGAAGAGAUAAGUGCUGAAAGCAUCUAAGCACGAAACUUGCCCCGAGAUGAGUUCU
rnacentral:rRNA from 1 species